GCGGGGUUGUAGAAAGACACAGAAAUGGCGAGUGUUGAGGUCUGUAGGAGAGAAGAGCGUGAGGCGUGGAGCGAGGAACCGAGUUUAGGUGGUUGGUGGUGGUAGCUUGUCUCUUUCAGUUUCAUCAAAUUCUGUGAAAUUUUGAGGCACAAAGGUUUUCAGGGACCUGAGGCGCCGAGACUGACAUUUUAAUUGAUUUU
rnacentral:misc_RNA from 1 species